AACCAAAACGACAAAAAUGUUGCGAGCUUUACGUGACAUGUUCACAACUGGAGAUGGCAACUACGAAAUGUUCUUUAACUAGGUGACACUUCGUAACCCUGAAUUCACUCAUUAAAUCCAGAUUUUAAUGACCUUUUUCAGUUAACUCUUGAUGUCUGCUCUGAAAACCGUUAGCUGAGUUAGCUUGGUUAGCUACAUCAGAAGUUAGGCUAACUUACAGCCGUUGUGACGUUCCAGGCAACAGACAAAAAAAGAGAAAAGUUUAGACACUGAAAUAACUGUUAACAGCAACCUUCAUCUUACAUAUUGGAAUUUAACUAAUCACAAAAAGAUGAUCAUUUUCCAAAAAAAGUGCUGCUACUGCAUGGAUGCGGCUCUUGUCUUCUCUCUCGGCUGCGCUGCUUCUCCAAGCUAGCGAACAAAGGCGAGAGAGCCUGCCCGCUGCCUGCAGUCAGACGGUCGGCCAGUCGGCAGCUGAGGACUGGACUGCGAGAGGAGAGGGGAGAAAACCUUCCAGAGCCGUGCUGACAGCUCCAGUAACAGUGUGCCCAAUCAAAGCGCAGGAGGCGGAGCCGGCGGCUGACAGGGGUAUAUCCAAAUGCUAAUGAACAUCUGCAAACAACAGCGCAGGGAAGGCAGAGCAAGAGCAGGCCCGGGCAGACACACACAGGAGUCAAACUAGCAACUUCUCAACGAUCAUCAGGAUACAAGUGAGGAAGAUGCUUCUGCGUCUGUGCUCACCCCGUUUCAUUUCAUGGAAACUACAAUAUUUAUGUCCCUUUGAAGAAAAAUGACACCUGAAAAAACACUUUAUUGUUUAUAUGUUAUAAUAAAGUAACAGGAUCUUUGAAUAACAACUUGGUAAUAUAUAUAUUUGCAACCCAUUGCAAGCACAACAGAACUACUCACCUUGUCAUUUAUAGAAUGAAAGUGCUGUAUCCAGCGUUUACGACUGUGUUUUUCUACCAUUUAAAAUGCAAUCACGUAGACAUAACUGUCAAACAUAUGACAGAAAAGACCUAAAACUAAAUAAAAUUAAAGUAAUCGUCUCCUGGA